UACGGAGGGUGCGAGCGUUGUCCGGAAUCACUGGGCGUAAAGGGCGCGUAGGUGGCGCGACAAGUCAACGGUGAAAGCUCGGCGCUCAACGCCGAGUCGGCCGUCGAUACUGUCGGGCUGGAGCACUGUAGAGGCAGAUGGAAUUCCUGGUGUAGCGGUGAAAUGCGUAGAGAUCAGGAAGAACACCGGUGGCGAAGGCGCUCUGCUAGGCCGCAACUGACACUGAGGGACGAAAGCUAGGGGAGCGAAUGGG
rnacentral:rRNA from 1 species